GGUCACUUAAAAGAAGUUCUAGCCUGGAUAUAAAUAGAUAAGGGUCGCCGUGGCUCCCCGAUCUAUAUACAUUGAUAACUACAGUAUUUUUGUGGGUUAAUUCAAUGCCGCAAAAUUCGGCAUGGAUGUCUAGUGAGUAUUUAUCUAAAUCUAAAGUUCUACAGUUGACUUUGUGUUUGCUAUAAAUUGAUACGCCCCCUCUGACCGCAGUCUGACGGCAUCGAAAGCUUUUCAAUAGAAAAUUAUUUACACAUAUUGAUUUUAAAAGUUCUUCAUCACAGACAAAGUGUUCAGAUAGACAGAGAAUAUCUACAUUUUUACCCAGCAAAUAACCGUUGAAGUACCUUUACUACUUGGGUUGCUGCCCCGAAGCACGCCGACCGAAAAAACGAUUCACGAGCACUCCAGUGGGCCAAAUGGAAGCAUUAAGAAUCUUCUCUGAGUCAGCGUCCAACACCGUGCACUUGAAAGAUGCAUAACUUUCAGGGAACAUGGAUCGAAUUUGCUCCACUUGAACCUCCGCAACCAUAGGCUUCAGAUAUUCUUCAAUGUCACAGGCUCUAGUCGUCGGAUGCAUCUUGGAGAUGUGGAACUGUGUCCUUCUGGUUGCUACCUGUAACUUACAGGACGCAGGGUCUUUAAGACUGCCCACUAUCGGCUGAGGUCUGGAAACCAUCCAACAGGCAGACUCAGCACCCAAUAACAGAAUGGCACAAUGUAGGCUUAUACUAUUUAACAAAAUCGGGAAAGUGAGCAAUACAUUUCUUAUCUGUUCGAUGAAAUCUAAAGUUAGAUUUAAAUAAAUUAUAACUACG